rnacentral:rRNA from 1 species
UUAUGGCUCAGAACGAACGCUGGUAGCGUGGAUUAGGCAUGCAAGUCGGACGGGAUCCGGAAGGUAGCAAUAUCGGCCGGUGAGAGUGGCGGACUGGGGAGGAACACGUGAGCAACUUGCCCGCAGGACGGGGAAAACCGUUGGAAACGACGGCUAAUACCGGAUGCGGCGCCAUUGGGACAUCCCGAUGGCGCCAAAGGGGGCCGAAAGGCUCCCGCCCGCGGAGAGGCUCGCGCACCAUCAGCUAGUUGGCGGGGUAACGGCCCACCAAGGCCUACGGUUAGCUGGUCUGAGAGGAUGACCAGCCCCACUGGGACUGAGACACUGCCCAGACUCCUACGGGAGGCUGCAGUCGAGGAUCAUUUGCAAUGGGCGAAAGCCUGACAAUGCGACGCCUGCGUGGAGGAUGAAGGCCUUCGGGUUGUAAACUCCUGUCAUGGGGGAACAGGCGAGGGGACCCAACACGUCCCUUAGUUGAGUGUACCCCAAGAGGAAGGGACGGCUAACUCUGUGCCAGCCGCGGC